AGUGAACGCUGGCGGUAGGCCUAACACAUGCAAGUCGAACGGCAGCACAGUAAGAGCUUGCUCUUACGGGUUGCGAGUGGCGGACGGGUGAGGUAUACAUCGGAAUCUACUUUUUCGUGUGGGUUCACGUAGGUAAACUUACGCUAAUACCGCAUACGACCUACGGGUGAAAGCAUGGGAUCUUCUGACCUUGCGCGAUUGAAUGAGCCGAUGUCGGAUUAGCUAGUUGGCGGGGUAAAGGCCCACCAAGGCGACGAUCCGUAGCUGGUCUGAGUGGAUGAUCAGCGACACGGGAAGUGAGACACGGACAAGAGGACUACGGGAGGAAGCAGUGGGGAAUAUUGGACAAUGGGCGCAAGCAUGAUCCAGCAAUACCGAGUGGGUGAAGAAGGCGUUCGGGUUGUAAAGACGUUUUGUUGGGAAAGAAAAGCAGCAGGUUAAGACCACGCUGUAGUGACGGUAACCAAAGAAUAAGCACCGGCUAACUUCGUG
rnacentral:rRNA from 1 species